AAAUGCGAUAAGUAGUGUGAAUUGCAGAAUUCAGUGAAUCAUCGAAUCUUUGAACGCACAUUGCGCCCUUUGGUAUUCCUUAGGGCAUGCCUGUUCGAGCGUCAUCUAAACCUUCAAGCCCUGCUUGGUGUUGGGUGCCUGUCCCGCCUCCGCGCGCGGACUCACCUCAAAUCCAUUGGCGGCCCCCGCGUCGGCCACGAGCGCAGCAGAAACACGAACUCGUGAGCCCGUCCGGGCGGCUCCCAGAAGCUACACCCACCCAGUUUGACCUCGGAUCAGGUAGGGAUACCCGCUGAACUUAAGC
rnacentral:misc_RNA from 1 species